rnacentral:rRNA from 1 species
CUCCAUUCGGUAGCAAUACUGAUGAAGAGCGAGUGGCGAACGGGUGAGUAGCACGUGAGCAACCUGCCCCGAAGACCGGGACAACACCGGGAAACCGGUGCUAAUACCGGAUAUCCCUAUCGGACCGCAUGAUCUGAUAAGGAAAUGGAUUCCGCUUCGGGAGGGGCUCGCGGCCUAUCAGCUAGUUGGUGAGGUAAUGGCUCACCAAGGCGAUGAUCAUUAGCUGGUCUGAGAGGAUGAUCAGCCAGACUGGAACUGAGACACGGUCCAGACUCCUACGGGAGGCAGCAGUUGGGAAUUUUCCACAAUGGGCGAAAGCCUGAUGGAGCAACGCCGCGUGCAGGAUGAAGGCCUUCGGG